AUUUUAAAGAUAAAUCCGCGGUCACACUGGUCAUAUUGUUUUUGUUUUUGCGCGGAGUGGUCGACGUCGCUCCGUUGCUGCGCCGUCUUUGAAAUGCGAUUGAAAUUUGAAGUUAGAAAAAACGCGUAUCACCAAAAUUGUCUGAAAGUUAUUAAGACUACAGCAUUACUACGUUUAAGUGUUAAGUGAUGGUAAACCUCUUGCAAAGCCAAGAAAAGUGAAGCGCAAGUGCCGAGAAAGAAAAUGGCGGAGUGAACAACUACAAAAGCUACACACGUAAGCAGCACAGCUUAAAACCGAAAAGAAACAUUUUCUUCAGCUCGAAAUUAAUCUGGUUUUUAUGUUUUACUUUGUACCGCGCGCGUCGCUGACAUAAAAUAAAAGACGGCGGACCGUAUCUGUGUAUGUAAACUGCCAUAAAAACGUGAAAUUCAUUAGGCGACAAGCAACAGCGACAACAAUUGUUUAAAUUUUCGUUGCGCCUCUAAUUUAUGACAAAAGAGAGAGAUAAUUAAAAGCUGGAAAACAGUCUACUCUACGAUCGUUUUGUUAAAAUAACGGCUCCAGCUCCCCCCGAUGUCACCAUACACCAUCGAG